GAGACAGGACACUACAGAGGGGACAGAAGGCACUACAAAUCUGGGAAAAGCUGCAAAAGCUGCAAAACCCCAGGACUCACUGAGCUACGCAAAGGUCCAUGUUUCAGUCUAUAUGUUGUUUCAGACAAAAGAAACUAUAGCAUCAGCUUUUACGUAAAGUUCCCUCCUGAAGUGCAGAUGCCCCUCUACCAUACAAUCUAUGUAAAAGCAUUACAGCUCCUUCUGGAUCUCAUGAAGCUUAGCAUUCAAUGCAGAGGCAUUGACUGCUUAAGCUACAGAAGUGAAGACAAGAGGAGUACAGCUGAGCUGACAGAAAGAAACACAGGAAAGAAGGGACUGAUUAAUCAUGCCUAGGAAGAUCAGACCAUUUGUUUGUACUACAGAUGUUUGUACUGCGUUUCUUUCUUUCAAGGACAACUCUGUGCAGUGUAUGACCUUGCUGUGAAGAUAUCAUAUUAAGUAACAGAGAGAAAAGAAAUCAUCUGGUUCUCUGUUUUUAGGUUUUGAAAGACCAUGGACAAGACUUUCUUGUUGGCAACCGGUUAACCAGGGCAGAUGUGCAGCUACUUGAAAUCAUUUUAAUGGCAGAAGAGUUCCAACCUGAUAUACUUGCCAAAUUUCCUCUCUUGCAGAGUUUUAAAGCAAGAAUAAGCAAUAUCCCCACAAUAAAGAAAUUCCUGCAGCCUGGCAGCCAGAGGAAACCACCAACACCAGAGGAAGAUAUACCCAAAGUGCUGGCAAUUUUCUUCUGAGCAGCAGCCUAAAGCCACAGAAACUCUGAUUUCAUUGUGUUUGCUGAUAGUGGCAAAGGGAAAUGAAUGAAAACAGUGAAAAUGUUUUUGAUCUCUCUUUCCUUAGCUACAGGACUGGUUUGAGCCUACUGUCAACACUUCCUAGGGAAAUCUGUAUGAGCAUACCAGAAAAUGGAGUAGUUCACUGAUUAGGGAGUAUAUUGGACAACACAAGAUAUCUUAAAUGACUAAAGAGAAUACCUGAAAUAAAGUCUUACUAUUGACACUCAAA